AGGAGAUAGCUGGGCUCCUCCCCUCUGCUUAGCUGCCUCUCCUAAGAUGUCUGCUACACUGAGCUGCCUUAUCAACAUAGAGGCCGGCUUACUGACUUCUAGGCUGCGGCCUACCAAAGGUAUCUACAGAGGGUCUUGGAACAUAUCAUCCACAGAUACAAGGAUCAUACUUCAUGUGUCAGGAAUCAGUCUGCUGGCUCCUGCAGAGGUAUUCAUAUGUUGUGGCACAAAAGAAUAAAGCACAGACUACCUGCUGGCACCAAUCACUGAAUCACAGGGAGAUGGUAUAUAGAGAUUACUUGAAGAAGAGCUCUGUUGCCGCUCUCCCUGGCAAACCUUUGUGCUGUAGAGAACACAAAGU